rnacentral:rRNA from 1 species
ACUCCUACGGAAGGCAGCAGUAAGGAAUAUUGCGCAAUGGGCGAAAGCCUGACGCAGCGACGCCGCGUGGGGAUGAAGGUCUUCGGAUUGUAAACCCCUUUCGGGAGGGAAGAUGGAGCGAGCAAUCGUUCGGACGGUACCUCCAGAAGCAGCCACGGCCAACUUCGUGCCAGCAGCCGCGGUAAU